rnacentral:rRNA from 1 species
UACGUAGGCAGCGAGCGUUGUUCUGAGUUACUGGGCGUAAAGCGUGCGUAGGCGGUGUCUUUAAGUUUGUUGUGAAAUCUCCCGGCUUAACCGGGAGGGUGCGGCGAAUACUGAGAUGCUGGAGUGCCGGAGAGGUAAGCGGAAUUCCUGGUGUAGCGGUGAAAUGCGUAGAUAUCAGGAGGAACACCUGCGGUGUAGACGGCUUACUGGACGGUAACUGACGCUGAGGCACGAAAGCGUGGGUAGCAAACAGG